AUCACCACCAUCAUCAUCAUCAUCACCAUCAUCACCAUCAUCACCAUCAUUGUCACGUCACCAUCACCAUCACUAUCAUCUGUGUUUCACGACUGAAGAAGCCCAGGCACAGGGAGUUAAGUGGUCACCACAUGAUAAACAAUUACAUUGCUCCAAACCCUACAAAAUCCCCCAUCUGUUUGGUUCUCCUGGGCCAAGAAGAGUAGUGGUGACCCCAGGCUGACUGGCCUCAUGUGGCUAGGGGAGUGGAAGAAUGGGAGGAAGGGCUCACCUCCAUCCUUUCAGGGCAUGACCUGGAAGUUCCUCCCAUGACCUCUGCUCACAGUGCGUUGGCCAGGACCUGGUCACAUGGCCACCUGAGGCUGCAAUGGAGGCUGGGAAAUGGAGCCUCUGUUCUGGUCCACCACGUGCCCUGAUCCCAGGAGGGGCUCUAAUUCCCCGAAGGGGCAGAUGUGGAGGGAAGAGGCCUGAGUCUUCAUUUCUAAGUUCCUGGUGAGCUGGUUCUCCUGGUCCACAGACCCCGGUCUGAGUAGCAAAGCUUUAGGGGCUCAAACAUCCCUGUGUUCUUUCCCCGUGGGGGCCACCUGCUGGGGCCCGUGGGAGGUUCCUAUUUGGUCCUGUAGCUCAUCAGCACUCGGGGUCCGUUCUGCAAAGCCUUCUGGCUGACCCCUGAGGACAGACCUGCGUGGUUCCCCCAGCUAAUUUGUGCAGCAUUUCCUGUGGUAGGCUCCCCCUGAGGAUGCAUUGCUGAGUCGCCUGGUGACUGUGUUUGUUUUCUAGACAUUGAUCUGACGCGUGUUAUGAAAGCACAGAGCUGGCUUCGAAAAGGGGUAAUUUCUCCUGUCGAUAUCAAACACAUUCAACGCAUCACCAAGCCUGCUCAUUACAAUUUCAAAUGUGCUCCAACACAGGAACCCAUAAUCCUCGCCAGUCUCUCUGCCUCAGACUUUGGGGGGAACGGAUCUGAGUCCCAGCAUGGGCAUGUGAAGGCACUGAGCCCCGAUGUGAGGGCUGAGGACCCCUGUGGCACUCCGGGCAGAGGACCGUAUGUCUUCAGUGCGCCGAUGGCAUGGGCGGGUCAGGGCCACAUUGACCAAGGCUGCCAUGUCCCAUGGGCUGGACCCCUGGCAUUUCUCCACUCACCCCCACAAACGUCAGCUAAUCUCCCCUGAGGGGAGAACCCUGAGCGUCAAUUCUGCCCGCUGCGCUGCUCUGGCUGAGCCGGGGAGGACACACAGUCCUUUCCCGGGAUUCAACCGUCCACACGGCAGAAACCAUCUCGAAGGACUCACCCACCCGGAUCCAGCCUCGGGGCGUCACUGUGAGGUGGGGCAGCUUCCUCCAUGCCCCUGCCCCAAGAUCACACUAUUCCACCCACAGAGGGGCCAAGGCUGUCCGGUCCCAGCAGAAUCUCCAUGCAAUAUCGUUCAUGCCAGUGACAUCAGCCAUCUUCACUAGGUUCUUGACUUCAGUGGGACAGCUUCCGAUCCUUCUCAUGAAUAUGACAGAAAAUGAGUUUCUACAAGUUGUCUGAAUGUUGCAAGCUUAUAAGACCCUGGUUAGUGUUCCUGGUCAGUGCCUUGAAAGGUUUUGAAAAUGAUAUAUCCAAUUCCUGAACAGAUUACACGGACAUUGGGAUGAAGUCAACCAGAGCUGUUGCCCAAGCAUCCUCCCUAUGUUCAUAACUCUGGUCACGUAAAGAAGGUGAAGAAGACCUUAUCUCUUGGGAAAGUUAACUGAGGAGAUGUCCUGGAUUACCCGUGAGCUGCCCCAGCCACCAUAACUCUCCGGCCAGAGCCAUGGGGAAGACAGAUGGAAAUCUACCCAACAUGGAUCAGCUCACACCGUCUCUAACCCUCAUCGCGGCCCCGAGAGCCAUGUGUUUUGAAGUCACUGAGCAGAGGAGGUCCCUGAGUCUCAAGAGGUGUGACACAUUUGGCCAAGGCUCGAGGCAAGUGAGAUGGGGUGUCGGCCAUCCGGGCCACGGUUCUACACCCCCCCUCCCCCACACACAGUGUACAAGGAAGUGAAUCGUGUGAGUUACUGACGGCACUCAUGGAAAAUAAAUGGGUGUUGUGAAUAAAAUAAAAUAAUUAGCCCUAAACAGA